rnacentral:rRNA from 1 species
AGAGUUUGAUCCUGGCUCAGAGUGAACGCUGGCGGCGUGCCUAACACAUGCAAGUCGAACGAGAACGGGUUACAGUUUACUGUAACUGUCAGCUAAGUGGCGCACGGGUGAGUAAUAUAUAGUUAAUCUGCCCCAAAGAAGAGAAUAAUUGUUGGAAACGACUUGUAAUGCUCUAUAUGCCUUUAUCACAUAAGUGAGCAAGGGAAAUAUUUAUAGCUUUGGGAUGAGACUGUACGGUAUCAGUUAGUUGGUGAGGUAAUGGCUCACCAAGACUAUGACGCCUAACUGGUUUGAGAGGAUGAUCAGUCACACUGGAACUGAGACACGGUCCAGACUCCUACGGGAGGCAGCAGUGGGGAAUAUUGCACAAUGGACGAAAGUCUGAUGCAGCAACGCCGCGUGGAGGAUGACACAUUUCGGUGCGUAAACUCCUUUUAUAUAGGAAGAUAAUGACGGUACUAUAUGAAUAAGCGCCGGCUAACUCCGUGCCAGCAGCCGCGGUAAUACGGAGGGCGCAAGCGUUACUCGGAAUCACUGGGCGUAAAGAGCGUGUAGGCGGGUUAAUAAGUUGGAAGUGAAAUCCUAUGGCUCAACCAUAGAACUGCUUUCAAAACUGUUAACCUAGAAUAUGGGAGAGGUAGAUGGAAUUUCUGGUGUAGGGGUAAAAUCCGUAGAGAUCAGAAGGAAUACCGAUUGCGAAGGCGAUCUACUGGAACAUUAUUGACGCUGAGGCGCGAAGGCGUGGGGAGCGAACAGGAUUAGAUACCCUGGUAGUCCACGCAGUAAACGAUGUUCACUAGGUGUAGCGGGUAUUAAAACUUGCUGUGCCGCAGCUAACGCAUUAAGUGAACCGCCUGGGGAGUACGGUCGCAAGACUAAAACUCAAAGGAAUUGACGGGGGCCCGCACAAGCGGGGUGGAGCAUGUGGUUUAAUUCGACAACGCGAAGAACCUUACCUGGGUUUGACAUCCUGUGAACGUCCAAGAGAUUGGACAGUGCCUUCGGGAGCACAGUGACAGGUGCUGCAUGGCUGUCGUCAGCUCGUGUCGUGAGAUGUUUGGUUAAGUCCAGCAACGAGCGCAACCCUUAUCGUUAGUUGCCAGCGCGUAAUGGCGGGAACUUUAGCGAGACUGCCCGGGUUAACCGGGAGGAAGGCGGGGAUGACGUCAAGUCCUCAUGGCCCUUAUAUCCAGGGCUACACACGUGCUACAAUGGUAAAUACAGAGGGCAGCAAUACCGCGAGGUGGAGCAAAUCUCAUAAAAUAUCUCCCAGUUCGGAUUACACUCUGCAACUCGAGUGUAUGAAGUUGGAAUCGCUAGUAAUCGUAGAUCAGCAAUGCUACGGUGAAUACGUUCCCGGGUCUUGUACUCACCGCCCGUCACACCAUGGGAGUUGAAUUCAUUCGAAGCGGGGAUGCUAAAAUAGCUACCUUCCACAGUGGAUUUAGUAACUAGGGUGAAGUCGUAACAAGGUAACC